CUGGCCCCCGCCCGUCUCCUCGGAGCUGGCCCGAGGGCGGGGCGCGCAAACCCCUUGAGCGCGUCGUCCUGCACCGUCCUGGCCCAGGACUUUAGCUGCCGGAUCGCUCCGGAGCCGAGGACCUCCCCGCGCCCCCCGCCGUCUGGGCCUCCAGGGCCGCCAAGCGAGGGUUCACAGCUGCCCGCACAUCCCGGGUCUCCCCCGCCCCAUUCUAGCCGCCCAGUUUGCCCCCUUCGGGCGAAAGUGAGGAUAAGCUGACGCUUUCCCUCAACUUCUCUGGGAGAGAGAGCCGGAGCCCCACACACUGGCUUCAGUGUCCCAGAACACUCAGCAGGAGGAGAGAACGAUUUAAGAAACAAUUUGGUUCGAAAGGCCAUGGUGAAAAUCAGCCAUUUGUACAGCUGAGACGUGGUUGUGUUUAACCCAGAGGACCUCGCUUUCAGGGAAAAAAGAAAAAGAAGAAAAAAACCUGAUGCGGCCUUUCAGACAGCGCCAAUGAGAAGAAUGUGUGAUUGGAAGCCCCGAGAACCAGCACAGGUCUUUUAAAUAUUAGAGAGAGAGUGGCGUGGCCGGGAGGAUCCCUAGCCCACAGGAGUCCAACUGAGGAUCUUCGCGUGAAGCUCACCUCAGGUACCUAUGUCUGAAUCCCACCAGCAGUGCAAAGACCCUUCCUGGAGGGGAAAGCUCAAGUGGGACUUGCAAUUAAGUCAACAAAUUGUUUCCUUCAACAACCCUGAAUCACAGCUCACCCAGGGACUACCUCAUCAGAGUUCCCAAGCUCAGGAGAUUCCCCUCAUCUGCUGUCAGACUUGGUGGUUGGUCAUCUUUCCACUGAUCCUGCCCAUAUUGCUACAGGCAUGUGCUCCUUUUUCAAAGUGAUGGAAAAUACAAGAAACAACAGUUGCCACUGGGAUAGGAGCUUUCAGAACUUGGUUCUGAACACAUUUCAGUCAUUAAAAUGGCUGUAUGGCGUUGGGCAAGUUAUUUAAUCUCUCUAAUUCAAUAUCCUCAUAAAGAAAGUGAAGAAGAUAUUAGUGAUAUCCAGUGAGCCAGUGGAUCUGAACACACUGAAAAGUGUACAAGCUGAUUUUGUCAUCUCUAUUUCACUUUGUCAAACAAGAAACAUCUCAAGUGAAGGAAACUGCUACCUGAAAAUAAGGAGGUCCAGGGCAGAGGUGGAAGCCUCUGGUCCUUUUUCCCUGUUGCUGAGAGUGGCCUUGGAAACCCUCAGUAAUACUCUGUACACCCAGGGAGGCCGUACACCCAGGGAGGCCAGAAGAGGUCGACAGAAAUAGUUUCCAUCAAAAAAAAAAAAAAAAAAAAAGAAAGAAAGAAAUAGUUUCCAUCUCAAUAUCCUGUGUUUUCCUUUCUCAGAAACCAGAGCAGCUCCACAGCCCAGGCCUGGAGGGGAAGCCAGAGGGAGUUUAUGCAGCAGGAGCCCUGGGCCGGCCCCGCCCGGCUGCCUGCCUGACUGAGGGCUGCCUCUGCAGUUGAGUCGUCCCCAUCCCCUGGGGGACUGUUUUCUCUAAUAAUCCUUUAAUAUUAGGAAAUAUCUGUCAGUGUUUACAAUUUCCUGAAUGUCUUCAAUUUGCUCCCUUUUUUGUGAUGUUUGUUUGAAUGAAGAAUCUAAAGAUCUGUACAUUGUCAUUGAUAGAUAUAUCUCUGAAAUCCUUUGUAGUUUAGUUUACCCUCUAAGUAAAUCCUCUCUCCACUUUUUUAAUGAAAAAAAAAGUGUCCUUUUUAAUGAAAGCAAAGUAAGGUUGUUUAUGCUGCAGUUUCCCAAACCUGAAUUUUUAAAAUUAAAACACAGUAAAGUCCUUGAAGAACCCUCUCUUCCUUGUGUAGCCUGUAAACUGGCAAUUACAUCCAGAGGCCAGAUUCAGAUUUGAUUAUAAUUAAUAUCUCUCUCUCUCUCUCUC
ensembl:lncRNA